UUAAAGAGUUCUAUAACUCCCAAACCCAUGUGAACAUACCUAACGUUGCCUCGGCAGGUCGCACCUACCUUGUAGCACCCUACCCUGUAGGGCCUACCCGGGAGGUGCGGGUAAGCCUGCCGGCGGCCCACCAAACUCUGUUUGAUAUUGAAUUCUGAACCUAUAACUAAAUAAGUUAAAACUUUCAACAACGGAUCUCUUGGUUCUGGCAUCGAUGAAGAACGCAGCGAAAUGCGAUAAGUAAUGUGAAUUGCAGAAUUCAGUGAAUCAUCGAAUCUUUGAACGCAUAUUGCGCCCAUUAGUAUUCUAGUGGGCAGGACCGUUCGAGCGUCAUUUCAACCCUUAAGCCUUCGUUGCUUAGUGUUGGGAGCCUACGGCAACGUAGCUCCUCAAAGUUAGUGGCGGAGUUGGUUCACACUCUAGACGUAGUAAUUUUUUAUCUCGCCUAUUAGUUGGACUAAUCCCCUGCCGUAAAACCCCCAAUUUAUCAAGGUUGACCUCGAAUCGGUUCAGACAAACUCGCUAAAUUGAAGCAUCUUAGUCAGCGAAGGAAAAGAAACCAACAGGGAUUGCCCUAGUAACGGCGAGUGAAGCGGCAACAGCUCAAAUUUGAAAUCUGGCCCUCGGGUCCGAGUUGUAAUUUGUAG
rnacentral:rRNA from 1 species